GAUAGAAUCAAUACUUACUAUUUAUCAGUACGAAGAGGAAAGAAGUAAUUGAAAGUGUAUGAAAUGGUUCUCGGAUACACCUGAAUUAACCAACUCUAAAUGUGUUUCUUCAACGAUAAGAUCUUAAAAGUUCUACAUCUAUUUCUUGUCUGAGUUCAAAAUUGAAGUAUUCGAUUCCAGUUAUAGCAAGAGAUAAAGAAUUAACACCACAAAAACGUUCAUCACCCCACUGUCACAAAUCUCGGGCAAACAUAAUCGGAUUGAAUCAUAACAACUACUUCUAAGUUUUAUUAUUUAAGUACAGCUAUAAUAAAUAGUCUAGACUAAAGUAUUGGGGAUCUUCCCAAAAAUUCCAAAAGAAAGGCCCCGAUGUCCUUUCAUCUCCGACAUAUAUACCAGG
rnacentral:misc_RNA from 1 species